rnacentral:rRNA from 1 species
UGGGGAAUAUUGCACAAUGGGGGAAACCCUGAUGCAGCGACGCCGCGUGAGCGAAGAAGUAUUUCGGUAUGUAAAGCUCUAUCAGUAGGGAAGAAAUUGACGGUACCUGAGUAAGAAGCUCCGGCUAAAUACGUGCC